AACGAACGCUGGCGGCAGGCUUAACACAUGCAAGUCGAAGGUGAAGCGGGACUUCGGUUCCGUGGAAACUGGCGCACGGGUGAGUAACGCGUGGGAAUCUACCCUGGGGUGGGGAAUAACCACUGGAAACGGUGGCUAAUACCGCAUACGCCUUGAGAGGGAAAGCUAUAUGCGCCCUGGGGAGGAGCCCGCGUCGGAUUAGGUAGUUGGUGGGGUAAUGGCCUACCAAGCCGACGAUCCGUAGCUGGUCUGAGAGGAUGAUCAGCCACACUGGGACUGAGACACGGCCCAGACUCCUACGGGAGGCUG
rnacentral:rRNA from 1 species